rnacentral:lncRNA from 1 species
UCCAAAUGAAUUUCAUGAUUGCUUUUUCUAUUUCUAUGAAGAAUGACAUUGGGAUUUUAAUAGGAAUUGCAUUAAGUCUGUAUAACUCUUUUGGUAGCAGGCCCAUUUUGACAAUAAUAAUUCUGCCUAUCCAAGAGCAUUGGAGAUCUUCAAUUUCUUUCUUUAGUCUUCUGUAGUUUUCAUUGUAGAGGUCUUUCAUCUCUUUUGAUUCCUAAGUAUUUUUUUGAGGCUAUUGCAAAUGGGAUAGAUUUCCUAAUUUCUCUUUCAGUGAAUUCAUCACUGAUAUAUAGGAAUAGGUUAGAUUUAUGCAUGCUGAUUUUAUAUUCUGCUAUUUUGAUGAAUUCAUUGAUGAUUUCUAGAAGUUUUCUGGUGGACAUUUUUGGAUCUUCUAAAUAUAGAAUUUCUGUUCUCAGCAAAUAGUGAUAGUUUGAGUUCUUCUUUUCCUAUUUGUAUCCCUUUGAUUUCUUAUGACAAUCUAAGUGCUCUGGCUAGAGUUUCCAGGAUUAUGUUGAAUAGAAGUGGUGAAAGAGGGAUCCUUGUCUUAUUCUAGUUCUUAGAGAAAAUGCUUUUAAUUUUUCUCCUGUUAGAAGACAUUGGCCUUGGGUUGGGGUUGUAUCUCAGUGGUAGAGCACUUGCCUCACAUGUGUGAGGCACUACUUCAAUCCUCAGCACCACAUAAAAAUAAAUAAGUAAAAUAAAGAUUUUUUUAAAAAGAUGAUGUUGG